rnacentral:rRNA from 1 species
GUAGGUGGCAAGCGUUGUCCGGGAAUUAUUGGGCGUAAAGCGCGCGCAGGCGGUUCUUUAAGUCUGAUGUGAAAGCCCACGGGCUCAACCGUGGAGGGUCAUUGGAAACUGGAGAACUUGAGUACAGAAGAGGAAGGCGGAAUUCCACGUGUAGCGGUGAAAUGCGUAGAGAUGUGGAGGAACACCAGUGGCGAAGGCGGCUUUCUGGUCUGUAACUGACGCUGAGGCGCGAAAGCGUGGGGAGCAAACAGGAUUAGAUACCCUGGUAGUCCACGCCGUAAACGAUGAGUGCUAAGUGUUAGGGGGUUUCCGCCCCUUAGUGCUGCAGCUAACGCAUUAAGCACUCCGCCUGGGGAGUACGGCCGCAAAGGCUG